rnacentral:rRNA from 1 species
UGAGGAAUAUUGGACAAUGGGCGAAAGCCUGAUCCAGCGACGCCGCGUGGGUGAAGAAGGCCUUCGGGUUGUAAAGCCCUGUCAGAGGGGACGAAACCGGGAAACCGCUGACGGUACCCUCAGAGGAAGCACUGGCUAACUCCGUGCCAGCAGCCGCGGUAAUACGGAGAGUGCAAGCGUUACUCGGAAUCACUGGGCGUAAAGGGCGCGUAGGCGGCCCAUUAAGUUGGAUGUGAAAUCCUGCGGCUCAACCGCAGAACUGCAUUCAAAACUGGUGGGCUAGAGUACGGAAGAGGAAGGCGGAAUUCCCAGUGUAGGGGUGAAAUCCGUAGAUAUUGGGAAGAACACCAGUGGCGAAGGCGGCCUUCUGGGACGAUACUGACGCUGAGGCGCGAAAGCGUGGGGAGCAAACAGA